AAGAUGUAUAGCUGCAAUUUUCACCAUAGAUGCAUCCGCGGUUUUAUGGUACCAAAAAUAUCGCUCCGCGCGCGAGAUCCAACCAAUCGGGUCUCCUUCUUCCCAUCUAGGGAAAUCCACUCUCAUGCAUGGAUAGUUGGGGUUGGUCAUAGAGCUUUCCCUCUCUUGGAAGUCAUAUCUUUGGGCUUGGUGCGAUUGGGCAAAGCUCUCUCCUUGAUGUGAUUUCUUCGGGCUUAGUGGUCGGCCCAAUCUGAGUUCGGUAAAGAGCGUCCGAAUCUUAUCCUCCAUUCGUGCCUCGAAGGCUUCAAAUUUAGCAUUGAUUACCUCCUCAG
rnacentral:lncRNA from 1 species